CCCCAGACGCGACCGCCUCCUUUCUCCACCGGCACCGGGACGGCGCGGCAGACCCCUUUUUCCUCUGGCACCGGGACAACGCGGCCGCCGCCUAUGCUGCUCCACCCCACCGCAACGUCGUCGCUGGCACUAGCCACGACUUCGUCGACGCAGCGACCGGAUCGGCGGAUCCAACCCGUAUGGUGCGGCGGCGGCGGCUGAAUCCAUGAUGGCGACUGCGUCCAGCGGCUCCCGCCGGCCCAAGCAGGUCCAUCUUCUCCCCCAACCCCUCUCAUGGGCCCCUCGCUGUCGCCUCGACGGCUGGGCCCCCUCCGCAACCGCCGGCCACCGGCAGCAGCCCCAGGGCCGAUGGUGACUUCCAGGCUGCAGCAUUGCUCAAUACCGGUGGCCUCGACGGCCAGCCCCAGCAAGCAUCUCUCUCUCUCUCUCUCUCUCUCUCUCUCUCUCUCUCUCUCCCCCCGUUCCUCUUCUAUGCUGUGCCAGUACCACGGUGGCCAUCCAUUGCCCAGGCCCGUCCAUGCAUUGCAGGUCCAAGUGGCUUCGCGACAGGGUUUGGAAACACUGCUUGUGGGUGACCAUGGGAUGCCCGUAGCCCCGUAGGAGAGACAAAUAAACAUAGCAUACAGAGAAAUAAUUGAUUCAUCACAAGUACAUGCAGUCUUUCUUUGGUCAUACAUGCAGUUUAAUUUUUGUUGGCAGACCAUUUUACUCAAUUUAAUUAUCUUAUUUUCAUUUGAGAACAUCUUAAUGUGCAAGUGUUGGAAUUCUGGUUAUAUUGAUGUUUUAGCCGUCAGUACAACAUUGCCAUGUACUGAUAUAUAUGGGAUAAUAAGCUUCAGUGUAUGAAGCUGUUGUUAACUUCUGCUCCCAUCAUGCACGACGUUAUCCCUUGAUGUAUAGCUGCAGUUAUUAGCAAUGUGUGUCACCUGUUAGCGAUGUACACAGUGAUUUCUGCAAUUCUUACGGGAGAGUCACCUCUGUUUAAUGCACCUGUUUCAGUAGAAGCACAAGCAGCCCUCCAUGAAAACUUCUACAGUUUUAUGUUCACAUCACGAUACAGAUACACGAGUUUUUAUAAUUAAGUUGGGACAUAAGUUUUAGUGUAGUUUCUGAUUGUAUCUUCAAUGACUUGUUGGACAGCCGUACUUUCUAGCAUAUCAACCUGAUACAAACUCUUACAUUGUUGUAACAACUGUUUCUCUAAGAAGACUCUUACAUUGGUUGCAGUUGCC